UACAGAGGGGGCAAGCGUUGUUCGGAAUUACUGGGCGUAAAGGGCGCGUAGGCGGCCUGCUAAGUCGAACGUGAAAUCCCCGGGCUCAACCUGGGAACUGCAUCUGUGACUGCAUAGCUAGAGUACGGUAGAGGGGGAUGGAAUUCCGCGUGUAGCAGUGAAAUGCGUAGAUAUGCGGAGGAACACCGAUGGCGAAGGCAAUCCCCUGGACCUGUACUGACGCUCAUGCACGAAAGCGUGGGGAGCAAACAGG
rnacentral:rRNA from 1 species